rnacentral:misc_RNA from 1 species
AGCUAAAAUGGGUUGUUGCUGGUUUUCAAUGGAGCCUCGCCGUUGGUGAGCCUGAGCACGCUUAAAGGCAGCAACCAAGGCAUUAGAGAUUGAAGGAUACUGUUGGGAGUGAGUACCUAACAUGGGGCUUGAUGUGGAAGCAGGGAGACGAUUAAGGGCAACGUUGAAGCAAAGCUCGAGGGCUUUGCACUGGAGGGGGUGAGAGUGGGAUUGAAGGCAAGCUGUUCUCAGUAAGCCAGUAGGGGCAGCAAGCAUGGUGCUAGCUACAUGGAGCGGGGUCACUUGGGCAUGGCCUCGCCGUCUCGCCAGAGUCACGGCUUGUUUCACGACGGUUGCCGCCUCCGCAGUUAGAGCUUGUUGCACCGUGCAACCUCCUGCUCUCAUUUUUUUUUCCAACUCAGCUAGCCUGCCAAAAAGAUAUAUAGGGGAAAAGAGAAGCUCAAAAAAGAUUAGGGUGUGAGCUCAAGGAAGGUUUGCUAGAGAUUUUAGCUUCAUGGCUAUUGUUAAGAUCAUUGGAGGAAGAUAUACAAGCACAUGAAUCUAUGAAGGGUUUAGGCUGGUUUUUUUAGGGUUUGCAGAGAGAGUGAUGUAUAUGGUUUAUGUGAAGUUUAGUGAGGUGUGUAUGUAGGUUGCUAGGUAGGUAAGUAUAGAAUUGGGAUUUGGACAUGGGAGUAGGAUUGUGAUGUUGGUCAUGGAAAGAAUAGAAAGAAGGGGUGUGAAAUAUAUGGAAGGUGGGCUAAUGCCUUUCUUGUAGGUGAGGCAAAAUUUGGGGUCCCAAAGUCGAAUUUGUAGUGGAAAGUGGAAUGCAUGUGCUGACAAGAGGGACGAAUGCGCCAGUCUCAAAGGCAAUUCAGC